UCACGUUUCAACGCAAGUACCGGCCGCCCAGCUACGCGGAAGAUCCCUGUUUUGAGAUAUUCUUUUAAGAGCCCCAGUGACGACACAAGGACUGGGCGGGUUUCUUGCAAAGAGCGGAACUUAAUUGGCUCCUCCUCGGCUGCCGCUCAUCGUCAUGGCGUGUGCUGAUAGGGUAUUCUGGGAAAGGAGGCGGGAUAUUUGGGGCCUGUCCAAACUGUUCUAAAGCUCAAGGAUCCGCUGAUCGCCUGUGGAGACGUGAUGGUUCCAGGAUAUCAGUUUCAACAACGAUUUUAAUUUAAAUGAACAGUUUGGAUCAGGACAACCGAUUGAAAUUCAAGGAAACCACCGAGGCCAGGUGUGUGACAAGGAGUCCCUGCAUGGAGGCCAGAAGCUGUAAAGUGAAGCCUGGAUUGCAUUGGAGACUCUAAGAUGAUGGAGGUGCCAGAGCUGUGGGAUAUCUGCCAAGAAGAGCUUCAGGCAGGGAGUGGAACAGCCUAGGAGAGAAAGAUGUGUUUCAGUGAGCAAUGUUGGAAAGAUGGAGUCAUGUGUAAUUCCAUAAGACAUGGAGUUACAGGAUUUGGAGUUGUCUCUGCUAGGUUUUCUGUCUGGUUUUGGUCCAGCAUUUCAAGACAGGGUUUCUCUGUGUAGUCCUAGCAGUCCUGGAACUUGCUCUGUAGACCUGGCUGGCUUUGAACUCAGAGAUCCGACUGCCUCUGCCUCCUGAGUGCUGGGCUUAAAAAGGUGUGGGCCACCACCAUCCAGUGGAGACUUUAGACUUUUAAACUAUGUUGAAACUGUGAGGUUGCAUCGGGCUAGAGAGCAUUCUUGUCAUAGUUUGGCUAUUAUGGUAUUUUUCAUUACACAGUUAGUGGAACUAAGAAUUGUGGCCGUGUUAGAGGAAGUAUAUCUCUGGGGUGGGUUCUAAGGUUUCAAAAGCCAGGCCAUUCCUAGUUAUCUCCCUAUCUGUCUUCUGCUUGUGGAUCUGAUAUAAACUCUUGGCUACUACUCCAGCACCAUGCUCCCAUCAUGAUGGUCAUGGACUCCACCCUCUGGAACCAUGAGCCCCAAAUUAAAUGCUUUAUUUUAUAAA